rnacentral:rRNA from 1 species
UACGGAGGAUGCGAGCGUUAUCCGGAUUUAUUGGGUUUAAAGGGUGCGUAGGCGGGUUAUCAAGUCAGCGGUAAAAUCGUGGAGCUCAACUCCAUCCAGCCGUUGAAACUGAUGAUCUUGGGUGGGCGAGAAGUAUGCGGAAUGCGUGGUGUAGCGGUGAAAUGCAUAGAUAUCACGCAGAACUCCGAUUGCGAAGGCAGCAUACCGGCGCCCGACUGACGCUGAAGCACGAAAGCGUGGGUAUCGAACAGG